CCUACGGGUGGCAGCAGUGGGGAAUAUUGCGCAAUGGGCGAAAGCCUGACGCAGCGACGCCGCGUGAGGGAUGAAGGUCUUCGGAUUGUAAAGUUCUUUAAUUGGGGACGAAAAAAAUGACGGUACCCAAGGAAUAAGCCCCGGCUAACUACGUGCCAGCAGCCGCGGUAAUACGUAGGGGGCAAGCGUUGUUCGGAAUGACUGGGCGUAAAGGGUGUGUAGGCGGUGUAGCAAGUUAGAAGUGAAAUACCUAGAGCUUAACUCAGGUGCUGCUUCUAAAACUGCUAUACUUGAGUGCAGUAGAGGAAAGUGGAAUUCCUAGUGUAGCGGUGGAAUGCGUAGAUAUUAGGAGGAACAUCAGUGGCGAAGGCGACUUUCUGGACUGUAACUGACGCUGAGGCACGAAAGUGUGGGGAGCAAACAGGAUUAGAUACCCGAGUAGUC
rnacentral:rRNA from 1 species